GUGGUUUUUUUCUUGACGACCAAAGAAAAACAACAGUGUUGCCCCCUAUGUUUGAUUUGAUAAAUAUCGACAGUGUUACCCCUUAUGUUUAUUUCAUGACGGCCGUUAAAAAACGACAGAGUUACCUCUCAUGUUUUUUCCAUGUUGACCAAUAAAAAACAACAGUGGUACCCCUGUCGACGUUUAUGCAGGGAUCCUAACCUAAGCUGUUUAGAGUGUUAACCUCCGAACUUAUCAAUGCACCAUCAAAACACCGAAUAAAGUCAACACAAUGGUUAUACUUGACUUUAUAAUUCGCAUGAAAUAGAGAAAAGAGUCUUCCAAACGAUGUCAUCAACCGGACUUGAACCCCGGUCUCCAGGCGGUUAGCUCACAGCUCUCUCCACUUCCCACUAAGAUUUUUAGUAUAAAUAUGUCUGUGGUUAUAUAUGACAUGAUAGCAUUACGUUUAAAAUUAAAGAUAUUGUGUUUUCCACAGAAAUGGAGCCGCUGUCUCCAGUGGGUUAGGCAGAGUGCACUCCACUGCACCACUGAGGCGAUGACGAUAGACAAUAAUCAAUCAUCAAUAAAGAGGAUAUACAUGACAUUAAAAUGUAUGUGUGUAUUUCUAUUAUUUCCCUUAUGGUUUUUUUCGUGACGACCAAUAAAAAACGACAGUGUUACCCCUUAUGUUUUUUUCAUGACGACUGAUAAAAAACGACUGUGUUACCCCUUAUAUUUUAUUUGACAAAGACAACAGUGUUACCCCUUAUGUUUUUUUUUCAUGACGACCAAUAAAAAACAACAGUGUUACCCCUUAUGUUUUUUUUCAUGACGACCAAUAAAAAAAGGAACAGUGUUACCCCUUAUAUUUUAUUUCAUGACGACCAAUAAAAAACAGCAGUCUUACCCCUUAUGUUUUUUUUCAUGAUGACCAAUAAAAAUGACAGUGUUACCCCUUAUGUUUUUUUUCAUCGCAACCAAUAAAGAAUGACAGUGUUACCCCUUGUGAUUUUUUUCAUGACGACCAAAGAAAAACAACAGUGUUACCCCCUAUGUUUUAUUUGAUAAAUAUCGACAGUGUUACCCCUUAUGUUUUUUCCAUGUUGACCAAUAAAAAACAACAGUGUUACCCCUUAUGUCUUUUUUUCAUGACGACCAAUAAAAAACAACAGUGUUACCCCUUAUGUUUUUUUUCAUGACGACCAAUAAAAAAAGGAACAGUGUUUCCCCUUAUGUUUUUUUUCAUGACGACCAAUAAAAAACAACAGUGUUACCCCUUAUGUUUUCUUUCAUGACGACCAAUAAAAAACAGCAGUCUUACCCCUUAUGUUUUUUUUCAUGACGAACAAUAAAAAUGACAGUGUUACCCCUUAUGUUUUUUUUCAUCGCAACCAAUAAAGAAUGAGUGUUACCCCUUGUGAUUUUUUUCAUGACGACAAAAGAAAAACAACAGUGUUACCCCCUAUGUUUUAUUUGAUAAAUAUUGACAGUGUUACCCCUUAUGUUUUUUCCAUGUUGACCAAUAAAAAACAACAGUGUUACCCCUUAUGUUUUUUUCAUGACGACCAAUAAAAAACAACAGUGUUACCCCUUAUGUUUUUUUUCAUGACGACCAAUAAAAAAAGGAACAGUGUUACCCCUUAUGUUUUUAUUCAUGACGA
ensembl:lncRNA